rnacentral:rRNA from 1 species
GGCGCAUGCCUAAUACAUGCAAGUCGAGCGAAUGACGAAGAAGCUUGCUUCUUCUGAUUUAGCGGCGGACGGGUGAGUAACACGUGGGCAACCUGCCCUGUAGAUUGGGAUAACUCCGGGAAACCGGGGCUAAUACCGAAUAAUCCAUUUCCUCACAUGGGGAGAUGUUAAAAGACGGCAUCUCGCUGUCACUACAGGAUGGGCCCGCGGCGCAUUAGCUAGUUGGUGAGGUAACGGCUCACCAAGGCGACGAUGCGUAGCCGACCUGAGAGGGUGAUCGGCCACACUGGGACUGAGACACGGCCCAGACUCCUACGGGAGGCAGCAGUAGGGAAUCUUCCACAAUGGACGAAAGUCUGAUGGAGCAAUGCCGCGUGAGUGAAGAAGGUUUUCGGAUCGUAAAACUCUGUUGUGAGGGAAGAACAAGUACGAGAGUAACUGCUCGUACCUUGACGGUACCUCAUUAGAAAGCCACGGCUAACUACGUGCCAGCAGCCGCGGUAAUACGUAGGUGGCAAGCGUUGUCCGGAAUUAUUGGGCGUAAAGCGCGCGCAGGCGGUCCUUUAAGUCUGAUGUGAAAUCCCACGGCUCAACCGUGGAAGGUCAUUGGAAACUGGGGGACUUGAGUACAGAAGAGGAAAGCGGAAUUCCAAGUGUAGCGGUGAAAUGCGUAGAGAUUUGGAGGAACACCAGUGGCGAAGGCGGCUUUCUGGUCUGUAACUGACGCUGAGGCGCGAAAGCGUUGGGAGCAAACAGGAUUAGAUACCCUGGUAGUCCACGCCGUAAACGAUGAGUGCUAAGUGUUAGGGGGUUUCCGCCCCUUAGUGCUGCAGCUAACGCAUUAAGCACUCCGCCUGGGGAGUACGGUCGCAAGACUGAA